GAGCUUGCUCUGGUGGAUUAGUGGCGAACGGGUGAGUAACACGUGAGUAACCUGCCCUUGACUCUGGGAUAAGCGUUGGAAACGACGUCUAAUACCGGAUACGAGCUGAGACCGCAKGGUCAUUAGCUGGAAAGAACUUCGGUCAAGGAUGGACUCGCGGCCUAUCAGCUAGUUGGUGAGGUAACGGCUCACCAAGGCGACRACGGGUAGCCGGCCUGAGAGGGUGACCGGCCACACUGGGACUGAGACACGGCCCARACUCCUACGGGAGGCAGCAGUGGGGAAUAUUGCACAAUGGGCGAAAGCCUGAUGCAGCAACGCCGCGUGAGGGACGACGGCCUUCGGGUUGUAAACCUCUUUUAGCAGGGAARAAGCGAAAGUGACGGUACCUGCAGAAAAAGCACCGGCUAACUACGUGCCAGCAGCCGCGGUAAUACGUAGGGUGCAAGCGUUGUCCGGAAUUAUUGGGCGUAAAGAGCUCGUAGGCGGUUUGUCGCGUCUGCUGUGAAAACGCGAGGCUCAACCUCGCGCCUGCAGUGGGUACGGGCAAACUAGAGUGCGGUAGGGGARAUUGGAAUUCCUGGUGUAGCGGUGGAAUGCGCAGAUAUCAGGAGGAACACCGAUGGCGAAGGCAGAUCUCUGGGCCGUAACUGACGCUGAGGAGCGAAAGCAUGGGGAGCGAACAGGAUUAGAUACCCUGGUAGUCCAUGCCGUAAACGUUGGGAACUAGAUGUAGGGACCAUUCCACGGUUUCUGUGUCGCAGCUAACGCAUUAAGUUCCCCGCCUGGGGAGUACGGUCGCAAGACUAAAACUCAAAGGAAUUGACGGGGGCCCGCACAAGCGGCGGAGCAUGCGGA
rnacentral:rRNA from 1 species